UGACUUCAGUGACAUACAAUUUGGAGAGACAAACUUCGAAGUUACUGUUAUGUCAUCGUUAUUUAAAUGGAAACAAAAUAAAGCCAAUGAUAAAAUCGAUUGUGUCGGUGAUCGAUUUGUAUACUCAAAUCAUAGCAAUGCAUCUAGCGAAAAUGCAUGUAAAUCGAUGUGUUUUCAAGACAAUAGUACAUGGAAGACAUAGAAAACAUACAAUGCAAUUACGUGUAAUUGAUCACGAUUCAUUUUAAGGGGAUGUCAUGUAUAUCCGUAGUCGUGAAACAGUACCUACAUUCGUUUUACCAUUUGUCUCACAUUUCCACGAAGCAUAUCGAAAAACAUUGUGUUAACAUUAUAUAUAUUUACUGUAUACAAUAUAAUCAUACUAUGAUUCGAAUUAAUAUAGUCGAAUUAAAAGAAAAUGGUAUAAACACAAGAUAAAUUAAAUGUAAUUGUCGAUAAAUCUACGCGGACCGUAGAUUAAAAAUUAAUGUUUGAAAAAGGAGGUAGUACUGCAUGAUAAAAUUAAGAGAGACAGCACAAAUAAUAAGAUGCGAUAUUUGUAAUGCAUCGAAUAAUUCUUCUCAGUUGACACAGGGCUAAUGCUAUUUUUCAAGCAUUCAAGAUUUUUUUAACACCAAGAGAAGAAAGGGCUUUUAUUCUGGAAGCGCUGUGUAAAUGUAUCAGAGAAUGAGAAUAGUCUUGGUGCUCCGUUUCCCUUGGCCCUGUAAAAUAACAUUGGUAAGACCAAAUUUUAUUUAUAUAUCUUCUUGUAAUUUAUAGAAAAUAUGUAAAAUACUUUUCAACGAUCACAGCAGGCAUUUGUACCAACUGCACAGGGCUUUUGGCAUCCUUUAAAGCUUGUUGUAAGUUCAAAAUUUGACCGCGCAUUACGCUCAUUUGUUUAUCAAAAUGAGGUCGAUCGAAACCUUUAUCUUGCUAUAAGAAUAAAUGUGCUUUACUAUAGAGCUAUGAUUGUAGAAUACUAUAUAUAUUUAUAUAAAAUAAUCGCCAUUUUAUACGACUUACUUUAAAUAACUGAUAUAAAUCGUCACAAAGAUCUUGUACAAAAUUUUGAUCCGAAAGUUGUGGUAAUACAAGUUCUCGCGUUACAUCGCUAAAUGGUUGUUUCGCUUGACUUAACCAUGCCCAGUGAUACGGAUAAGCACGCCACGAAUCGGGAUGUUUAAAAGGAAAAGCCAAACCAUUAUCUAUAGCGGCUAUUUUUACUUCACCCUGUUCUGAUCCGUUUUUUCCCUUACUAUUAUCGUAUUUAAUUAACCAAUUAUCAUUACCUUAAAAAAAGUCAGUGUAUCAUUAAAUAGUUUAACUUUAAAUAUAAAAAUAAAAAAAUCUUAUGAAAUGUUAAAUACCUCUGUCAGUAUUUCUAAUUAUAUAGUCCAAAAUAACUAAGCGUUCGAACUGAAGUUGAAAUUCUCUACUAAGACGUGGUGAUAAAGGUUCAUUUUCCCAUCGCCUUAACCAGUAAUCAGCAUCCUUGUAACCAUCUACAAAAACUUGAAAAGAACCAACUUUCGGUGGCAAA